rnacentral:rRNA from 1 species
GGUUAAGCGACUACGGUUACACGGUGGAUGCCCUGUCAGUAAUAGGCUAUGAAGGGCGUUAUAAUCUUCUAUAAGCGCCGGUAAGGUGAUAUGAACCUUUAUAACCGGCGAUACCCGAAUGGUGAAACCCAGUGUGAAUCUUCACACUAUCAUUAACUGAAUCCAUAGGUUAAUGAUGCGAACCGGGGGAACUGAAAGAUCUAAGUACCCCGAGGAAAAGAAAUCAACCGAGAUUCCCCCAGUAGCGGCGAGCGAACGGGGAGGAGCCCAGAGCCUGAAUCAGCAUGUGUGUUAGUGGAAGCGUCUGGAAAGGCGCGCGAUACAGGGUGACAGCCCCGUACACAAAAGUGCAUGUGCUGUGAGCUCGAUGAGUAGGGCGGGACACGUGGUAUCCUGUCUGAAUAUGGGG